CUUGAUUAAAAAUAAGAGGUCCAGCCUGCCCAGUGACAUAGUUCAACGGCCGCGGUAUUCUAACCGUGCGAAGGUAGCGUAAUCACUUGUUCUUUAAAUAAGGACUAGUAUGAAUGGCACCACGAGGGUUACACUGUCUCCUUUUUUUAAUCAGUGAAACUAAUCUUCCCGUGAAGAAGCGGGAAUUUUUAUAUAAGACGAGAAGACCCUAUGGAGCUUUAAAUAAAUUAACACUUGCCACAUAAUAUUAAAUAACAAAGUAUAGCAAUAUGAUUAAUAAUUUUCGAUUGGGGUGAUCACGGAGUAAAAAACAACCUCCAUGCCGAAAGGGCCUGUCCCUGAGCAAAAAACUACGACUUUAAGCACUAAAAAAUUAACGUCCAUUGACCCAAUAACUUGAUCAACGAAC
rnacentral:rRNA from 1 species